GGAGAGUUGCCGGAGUGGUUGAACGGGGCGGUCUCGAAAACCGUUGUCCCGAUUUUCGGGACCCAGGGUUCGAACCCCUGACUCUCCGCCA
rnacentral:tRNA from 1 species